AAAAACAUUUCCUCUUGGUAUAAGAGGUAAGGCCUGCUCACUGACUAGGUUGAAGAGCCGCAGUAUAUUGACUGUGCUAAGGUAGCAUAAUCAUUAGUCCUUUAAUUGGGGACUGGUAUGAAUGGCUAAACGAGAAAUUAGCUUUCUUUGUUAUGGUUUGUUGAAUUUAACUUGUAAGUGAAAAGGCUUACAUGAUUCAGAAAGACGAGAAGACCCUAUAGAGUUUUACAAAGGCCUAAAAUACAGCUUAUUAGUUUUUAAGGGUUAUAUUUUGGAAAUUUGUUUGGUUGGGGCGACAUAAAGAUAAAAAAAACUCUUUGUAGUAUAAACUUUGGUUGAAGAAAAGGUUUGAUCCUCUAAAAGGGAUUAUAAGAAAAAAUUACCUUAGGGAUAACAGCGUAAUCUUCUUUUAGAGUUCAAAUCGACAAGAAGGUUUGCGACCUCGAUGUUGGACUAAAAUUUGGGCAAGGUGCAGCAGCUUUGUUUUUGGGUCUGUUCGACCCGUAAUAUUUUACAUGAUCUGAGUU
rnacentral:rRNA from 1 species